GUGCUCGCUUUGGCAGCACAUACACUAAAAUUGGAACGAUACAGGGAAUUAUUAGCAUGGCUGCUAUGCAAGGAUGGCAUGCAAAUUCGUGAAGCAUUCCAUAUUAAA
ensembl:snRNA U6 U6 spliceosomal RNA